GACGAACCGUGCGAACGUUAUUCGGAAUCACUGGGCUUAAAGCGCGUGUAGGCGGAAGGGCACGUCCGUUGCUGAAAUCCCCCGGCUCAACCGGGGAACGGGCACGGAUACGACUCUUCUGGAGGAACGUAGGGGGACCUGGAACUUCCGGUGGAGCGGUGAAAUGCGUUGAGAUCGGAAGGAACGCCCGUGGCGAAAGCGAGGUCCUGGACGUUGACUGACGCUGAGACGCGAAAGCCAGGGGAGCGAACGGG
rnacentral:rRNA from 1 species